AGAGAGAGAGAGAGAGAGAGCUUGAUGAUGAAUCUAUGACUUUCGCGAAAAUCUCAUUAAGGGGGAGUGUUGGAAUCGAUGAGAUUUUUACUUAAUGUAUGGGAUAUCUCAUUGACGAAUCCUAUGACUAUUAAAAAAAUCACGAGAUUUGUUACCAAAAUCUUAGUAGUGAUUUAUGAUUUAUUGAUAGUAUUCCAUAUAUAUCAUGUAUCUUACAUUAUAAAUGUGGAGUUUUGUGCAUUAUGUAAGACACACAGCACGAGUGAAUGAAAUCUACUUUUUUUCCCCAUCUUUUCUAUCCUUCUAAAUUCAA
rnacentral:misc_RNA from 1 species